rnacentral:rRNA from 1 species
UAGGGAAUCUUCCGCAAUGGACGCGAGUCUGACGGAGCAACGCCGCGUGAGUGAAGAAGGAUUUCGGUUCGUAAAACUCUGUUGUUAGAGAAGAACAGCGCAUAGAGUAACUGUUAUGCGUGUGACGGUAUCUAACCAGAAAGCCACGGCUAACUACGUGCCAGCAGCCGCGGUAAUACGUAGGUGGCAAGCGUUGUCCGGAUUUAUUGGGCGUAAAGCGAGCGCAGGCGGUCAAUUAAGUCUGAUGUGAAAGCCCCCGGCUCAACCGGGGAGGGUCAUUGGAAACUGGUUGACUUGAGUGCAGAAGAGGAGAGUGGAAUUCCAUGUGUAGCGGUGAAAUGCGUAGAUAUAUGGAGGAACACCAGUGGCGAAGGCGACUCUCUGGUCUGUAACUGACGCUGAGGUUCGAAAGCGUGGGUAGCAAACAGG